UACGGGGGGGGCAAGCGUUGUUCGGAAUUACUGGGCGUAAAGGGCUCGUAGGUGGCCAACUAAGUCAGACGUGAAAUCCCUCGGCUUAACCGGGGAACUGCGUCUGAUACUGGAUGGCUUGAGGUUGGGAGAGGGAUGCGGAAUUCCAGGUGUAGCGGUGAAAUGCGUAGAUAUUAGGAAGAACACCAGUGGCGAAGGCGGCUCACUGGCCCGGUACUGACGCUGAGGCGCGAAAGCGUGGGGAGCAAACAGG
rnacentral:rRNA from 1 species